rnacentral:lncRNA from 1 species
CACGUUAACACGCUUGGGAAAGUAGAAUCGGUGCUCGGCAAUGUUCGGAUAUUCUACUAGCCAUGUUAAAAAUAUCGCUUCUUCUUCUUAAAAAUAUUGCUUUUUGACGUGUGGUUGUCUUUAUUUUGUGGUGGUUGUAUUCAAAAAGCUAACCUAAAGAAAGAUUAUAAUUUGUGAUUAUUUUCAAUUUGUAUAUUUUUGUCUUGGGUUGUUUGGAACUAUUUUAUUAGAAAUCACUAAAUUUUUAAAUUUUACCUGUGACUAGAGAACAUUGUUAUAUUAAGGUGUGUGAUCCAGACUUAAAAAUUUUAAACAUCGAUGCUAGAUGGGGAGGUGCAACACAUGAUGUGGAGAAACUCAAAUGUAAAACUUUUUUGCAGCAGAUCGUUUAAAAUAGAGAUCAAAGCAUUUUCCAUUUCUAUUCUGGCAAAGAUUACUUUCACUUCUUAGUUAUCUUUGCUGGACGGUGAAGCUUUAUAUCUUAUUAUGAAGUAUUUUGAACAUAAAACUUUUGUUUUAUGGAUGCAUUGAUCAAAUAUCUUAAAGAAAUGUUUAUUUAAAGUUUCAUAAUAAUUUUUAUAAGUAGUUUAAUAUAAUUACUUAUUUUUGCACUAGAAAUAAUAAUUGUAAAGCUUCAUUGACUAAUGGCCAGUUUCACCAAAGAUGAAUAGUAGUUUAUUCGAUGAAUAAAAUUAUUCAACUGAUAAAACUGACACAACUAUGUUUCUCUAACGUCAAAUAGUACUUAUUUUAUUUAUUCAUCAAAUAAAUAUUUACUCUUCAAAUGAAUUGACGAGUUAAUCUCACUUUAAAUAUCUAUAUAAAGAAAAUUUGUCAAUUUAAUUUUAAAUUAUCAAACUAUUCACUGAUUUAUUUGUUGUUGGUGAAACUGGCCAUAGAGAGUAAAAUUGCAUUAUUUUUCAAUUUACAUAAAUUUGUGGUUUAUUUGUGAUUUAUUCUUUGUUCUUAUUUUAGUCUUGGUAUGAAACAAUGUUAAGACAAUACUGUGUGCUUUUUCAGUCCUAUGAAAGAAAAUGUUUUGGAUGUAAUAGAGAAGUACUACAACUUUGUUAUGAAGAUUUGUCUUUAUGUUAUUUUUAUAAUGUUCAUGGAUUAUAUUUGUUUUUAUGUUUUCUUCAGUUUAAAUAAAGUUUAUGUUUUACCCA